CAGUAGCCGCGGGAAAACGUAGGGUGCAAGCGUUAUCCGGAAUUAUUGGGCGUAAAGAGCUCGUAGGCGGUUUGUCGCGUCUGCCGUGAAAGUCCGGGGCUCAACCCCGGAUCUGCGGUGGGUACGGGCAGACUAGAGUGAUGUAGGGGAGACUGGAAUUCCUGGUGUAGCGGUGAAAUGCGCAGAUAUCAGGAGGAACACCGAUGGCGAAGGCAGGUCUCUGGGCAUUAACUGACGCUGAGGAGCGAAAACAUGGGGAGCGAACAGGAUUAGAUACCCCCGUAGUCCCUGUCUCUUAUAC
rnacentral:rRNA from 1 species